rnacentral:lncRNA from 1 species
CGCUCUCUACUAUGAGCGCGCGAUCCACCACCUCCCGGUAGGUUUGGAGGUUAGAGGAUUGCAUAAACCGAAAAAUCGACGGUCGCAACCCUCGCUCGAAGAUGCGGGCCUUGUCCUCGUCGUCCCGCACGACGAAAGGCACGCAGUGAAGAAGCCGAGAAAACUCCCGCUUGUACUCAGCUACAGUCCGAUCACCUUGGCGCAAGUUGCGCAGAUCC